UCGAGAAUUUUUCUCAAUGGGGGAAACCCUGAAGGAGCGACGCCGCGUGGAGGAUGAAGGUCUUCGGAUUGUAAACUCCUGUCAUUGGUGAACAAAGCCACGGGUUAACUGCCAUGUGGUUUGCUAGUAGCCGAAGAGGAAGGGACGGCUAACUCUGUGCCAGCAGCCGCGGUAAUACAGAGGUCCCAAGCGUUGUUCGGAUUCAUUGGGCGUAAAGGGUGCGUAGGCGGUAGAGUAAGUUGGAUGUGAAAUCUUGGGGCUUAACCUCAAAAUUGCAUUCAAUACUGCUUUGCUUGAGCGCUGUAGAGGAGAUUGGAAUUUACGGUGUAGCAGUGAAAUGCGUAGAUAUCGUAAGGAACGCCAGUGGCGAAAGCGAAUCUCUGGGCAGCAGCUGACGCUGAGGCACGAAGGCCAGGGGAGCAAACGGG
rnacentral:rRNA from 1 species